UUUCCGUAGGUGAACCUGCGGAAGGAUCAUUCAUAAUAAAGUGUUUUAUGGCACCUUUUAAAAAUUCAUAUCCACCUUGUGUGCAAUGUUAGAUCUCGUCAAUCUUGGCGAGAUUUUUAUACAUCAACUCAUUCUUUAACUAAUUUGUCUGAAAAAUAUUAUGAAUACUUAAUUCAAAAUACAACUUUCAACAACGGAUCUCUUGGCUCUC
rnacentral:misc_RNA from 1 species